rnacentral:misc_RNA from 1 species
UUUCCGUAGGCGAACCUGCGGAAGGAUCAUUAUUGAAUAAACCUGAUGUGGUUGUAGCUGGCCCUUUCGGGAGCAUGUGCACACCCGUCGUCUUUAUCUUUCCACCUGUGCACCUUUUGUAGACCUGGAUGUAACACUUUCCGAGGCAACUCGGUCGGGAGGAAUGCUGUCAGCUUUCCUUGAAUGUCCAGGCCUAUGUUUUCAUAUACCCCAAAGUAUGUAACAGAGUGUAUUAUUGGGCCUUGUGCCUAUAAACUAUAUACAACUUUCAGCAACGGAUCUCUUGGCUCUC